CAAAGGUUUGGUCCUGACUUUUCUGCCAGCUCUAGCUAGACUUACACAUGCAAGUAUCCGCGCCCCCGUGAGAAUGCCCUAUAGUUCCCCGCCCGGAAACAAGGAGCUGGUAUCAGGCACAUUCAAAUAUGCCCACGACACCUUGCUCAGCCACACCCCCAAGGGUACUCAGCAGUGAUAAACAUUGACACAUAAGUGAAAACUUGACUCAGUUAAAGCUAAGAGGGCCGGUAAAACUCGUGCCAGCCACCGCGGUUAUACGGGAGGCCCAAGUUGUUGGAAAUCGGCGUAAAGGGUGGUUAAGAACAAGCUUAAAAUUAAAGCCGAACGCCUUCUAGGCUGUUAUACGCAUCCGAAGGUAAGAAGCCCAAUUACGAAAGUAGCUUUAUAUAUUCUGACCCCACGAAAGCUAAGACACAAACUGGGAUUAGAUACCCCACUAUGCUUAGCCGUAAACAUUGACAGUUUAAUACAUUUUCUGUCCGCCUGGGUACUACGAGCAUUAGCUUAAAACCCAAAGGACUUGGCGGUGCUUUAGACCCACCUAGAGGAGCCUGUUCUAGAACCGAUAAUCCCCGUUCAACCUCACCCUUCCUUGCUCGUCCCGCCUAUAUACCACCGUCGCCAGCUUACCCUGUGAAGGCUAAAAAGUAAGCGAAAUUGGCAUUGCCCAGAACGUCAGGUCGAGGUGUAGCGAAUGGAGGGGGAAGAAAUGGGCUACAUUCCCUUUUAAAAUAUAGGGUACAACGAAAGAUACACUGAAACCGUGCAUCCGAAGGAGGAUUUAGCAGUAAGCGGAAAGUAGAGUGUUCCACUGAAACCGGCUCUUAAGCGCGCACACACCGCCCGUCACUCUCCCCGAAACUUUACCAAAACAUUAAUUAAAAUGCCAAAAUCAUAGAGGGGAGGCAAGUCGUAACAUGGUAAGUGUACCGGAAGGUGCACUUGGACAAC
rnacentral:ncRNA from 1 species